UACGUAGGCAGCAAGCGUUGUUCGGAAUUACUGGGCGUAAAGAGUGUGUAGGCGGUGCUCCAAGUCUGGUGUGAAAUCUCCCGCUUAACUGGGAGGGUGCAUUAGAAACUGGAAUGCUAGAGGAUGGGAGAGGUAAGCGGAAUUCCUGGUGUAGCGGUGAAAUGCGUAGAUAUCAGGAGGAACACCCAUGGGCGAAGGCAGC
rnacentral:rRNA from 1 species